rnacentral:lncRNA from 1 species
GCACAGGUGAGACAACAGUCACAGUUGAGAGACAGACACCAUAGGCAGCUCUACAGGGAAUAUAAUUUAACUUUUAUCUGAGAUCAACCAGCAAUGAGUAGCAGAAAACAUUCUUUCAAAAAGCCAACCACCUCAAAAUGUAAACUGUUCCGGCAGACCUCAGCUAUUAUAUUUCCUUCUGUUGUUCAACAAACAGGUGAACAUACUUCCCAGAAUGCUACACAUACCACUUCAAACAGCUACAGGUGAGCAGGUCUUCAGUAUACACAGUGGGUAGCUGAAAAGUUCCUGAUUUCAAGGGUAUCGUAAAAGGCUUGGUUGGAGACCCAUUUUCUGAAAGAUUGCUGCAAUAAGUGCAUGAAUUUGAGAGCGGAAUAUGUUGAAUAAAAUCAUAACUGACUGAUCCUCCUGCAUUUCCUUUUACCCAGCAUCCCCUCAUGUAUCACCAUCAUCUUCAUAGAUAGGACAGUUCAACAGGAUCCAACAAGUCCAAGGAUUACAUUGAGCUCCUAUGUCUACAACUGGAUGUCCUUCUCAAUGCCAACCACUUUACAGGAUGUACAAGGUACUUUUAUUAUGGCACCAAUGCUGGUGAGGUCACCAUGUAAUUUGCAAGACAAAAACAACAGUCUUUAUGAUUGAGGGGGAAUAUAGUAGACAGAGAGGUGACUUUAUUCCCUCUGUUUGGAGGUUAAAGUAUGAUGAAGUGAGAGCAUUCAACACUUCACUAAAAGACAUACCUAUAUCUAGUAGGAUGGCUACAAGGACCAAGAAGAAAACAUACAGUAGUAAGUUGUGUGAAACAGAGUUUAUUUUAACAGGAUACUUCUUGAAAUCACCUGAGACACACCUCCAUCAAGGGAUACACUUCAACCAGUUGUGCAGUAUCCUACCUGUGAAGGAUCAAUGCUAGG